rnacentral:lncRNA from 1 species
CUCUAUAAUUUGUUAUUCUGCCAGAAAAUGUGGACAACAGUGAAUGUGUUAGAGGCCUUUCCAUCCUGUUUUACCUGAUCUGUUUACUUGAAGCAGCAUGGAAGUGCCUGUCUGUGAUGGAUGAUGUGAAGGAAGGAUCCUCACUAAACUCUUGAGAGGAACAAAUACCUACAGUCCAGACAAGAAGUCUGAAUAAACUGGUACAGUGAGUGUAAAGUCCACCAGGUAAUCUGCAUGUGUAGAUUAUGCCUUGUAUUAUAAAGUAUUUCUAUCAUUCUAAAGUACUCAUCCCUAAAAGCUGUACUAAAUUUUAACAGUUCAUCACAGUUGCAAAUCAAUAUUUGAAGUGCUGGGAUGGUUUCUGCUACCAAAUAAGUUUUUAUCUGUGAAAUAAAAAUAUGUUUUAAGAAGCCUAUAAAUAUGGGCUUUCUUUGCCUUUCAAGGUUAUGAGAUUUAUCUUAAUAUAAAUUGCAGGUUUGCAGGAGUGAUAUACAGUAGCUUACUACAAUUAGGUGAAGCUACCAGUAUUCCAGAGACCUGACUGUUUGUAUUACGUGAGUCCUUUUUGUGAAAAGAUAAAAAGAACAAUAUAACAUGUAAUGUAUCAGGGGGGAAAAAAAAU